UGGUCCUACGGGAGGCAGCAGUGGGGAAUAUUGCACAAUGGGGGAAACCCUGAUGCAGCGACGCCGCGUGAGUGAAGAAGUAUCUCGGUACGUAAAGCUCUAUCAGCAGGGAAGAAAAAAAGCCUUUGGCUUUGGACGGUACCUGACUAAGAAGCCCCGGCUAACUACGUGCCAACAGCCGCGGUAAUAUGUAGGGGGCAAGCGUUAUCCGGAUUUACUGGGGGUAAAGGGAGCG
rnacentral:rRNA from 1 species